rnacentral:rRNA from 1 species
GAUGAACGCUAGCUACAGGCUUAACACAUGCAAGUCGAGGGGAAACGGCAUUAAGUGCUUGCACUUUUUGGACGUCGACCGGCGCACGGGUGAGUAACGCGUAUCCAACCUUCCCAUGACUAAGGGAUAACCUGCCGAAAGGCAGACUAAUACCUUAUGGUCUUCACUGACGGCAUCAGAUGUGAAGUAAAGAUUUAUCGGUUAUGGAUGGGGAUGCGUCUGAUUAGCUUGUUGGCGGGGUAACGGCCCACCAAGGCAACGAUCAGUAGGGGUUCUGAGAGGAAGGUCCCCCACAUUGGAACUGAGACACGGUCCAAACUCCUACGGGAGGCAGCAGUGAGGAAUAUUGGUCAAUGGGCGAGAGCCUGAACCAGCCAAGUAGCGUGCAGGAUGACGGCCCUAUGGGUGGUAAACUGCUUUUGUAUGGGGAUAAAGUCAAUCACGUGUGAUUGUUUGCAGGUACCAGACGAAUAAGGACCGGCUAAUUCCGUG